GGUGCCUUCGGGAACUCUGACACAGGUGCUGCAUGGCUGCGUCAGCUCGUGUCGUGAGAUGUUGGGUUAAGUCCCGUAACGAGCGCAACCCUUGCCUUAGUUACCAGCACGUUAUGGUGGGCACUCUAAGGAGACUGCCGGUGACAAACCGGAGGAAGGUGGGGAUGACGUCAAGUCAUCAUGGCCCUUACGGCCUGGGCUACACACGUGCUACAAUGGUCGGUACAGAGGGUUGCCAAGCCGCGAGGUGGAGCUAAUCCCAUAAAACCGAUCGUAGUCCGGAUCGCAGUCUGCAACUCGACUGCGUGAAGUCGGAAUCGCUAGUAAUCGUGAAUCAGAAUGUCACGGUGAAUACGUUCCCGGGCCUU
rnacentral:rRNA from 1 species